rnacentral:rRNA from 1 species
UACCGAGGUGGCAAGCGUUGUUCGGAAUUACUGGGCGUAAAGGGCGCGUAGGCGGCCUACUAAGUCAGACGUGAAAUCCCCCGGCUUAACCUGGGAACUGCGUCUGAUACUGGAAGGCUUGAGUAUGGGAGAGGGAUGUAGAAUUCCAGGUGUAGCGGUGAAAUGCGUAGAUAUCUGGAGGAAUACCGGUGGCGAAAGCGACUCUCUGGACGGCAACUGACGCUGAGGCACGAAAGCGUGGGGAGCAAACAGG